rnacentral:tRNA from 1 species
GGGCUGCUAGCUCAGUUGGUAGAGCAGUUGACUUUUAAUCAAUUGGUCGCAGGUUCGAGUCCUGCGCAGCCCACCA